rnacentral:rRNA from 1 species
AUUGAACGCUGGCGGCAGGCCUAACACAUGCAAGUCGAACGAGUGGCGGACGGGUGAGUAAUGUCUGGGAAACUGCCUGAUGGAGGGGGAUAACUACUGGAAAAGGUAGCUAAUACCGCAUACCAUCAGAUGUUCCCAGAUGGGAUUAGCUAGUAGGGGGGGUAACGGCUCACCUAGGCGACGAUCCCUAGCUGGUCUGAGUGGAUGACCAGCCAAAAUGGAACUGAGACACGGUCCAGACGCCUACGGGAGGCAGCAGUGGGGAAGAUUGCGCAAUGGGCGAAAGCCUGAUGCAGCCAUGCCGCGUGUAUGAGGAAGGCCUUCGGGUUGUAAAGUACUUGCAGCGGGGAGGCGUUACCCGCAGAAGAAGCACCGGAUAACUCCGUGCCAGCAGCCGCGGUAAUUC